rnacentral:misc_RNA from 1 species
UCCGAUUUGAAUAUCGGCAGUCUCGUUAGAGUGCCCGGCCGAACCGCUGGCAACUAACGACAAGGGUUGCGCUCGUUGCGGGACUUAACCCAACAUCUCACGACACGAGCUGACGACAACCAUGCACCACCUGUACAGGAUCCCUUACGGACCCGGCAUCUCUACCGGAUUACCCUGCAUGUCAAGCCUUGGUAAGGUUCUUCGCGUUGCAUCGAAUUAAUCCGCAUGCUCCACCGCUUGUGCAGGCCCCCGUCAAUUCCUUUGAGUUUCGGUCUUGCGACCGUACUCCCCAGGCGGAGUGUUUCACGCGUUAGCUGGGCCCCUGAUCCACGUAGACCAAGGGCGAACACUCAUCGUUUACGGCAUGGACUAC